UGGAAGCCAAUGGGAUGGAAAGAGCAGCUGUGUGGCAACGUAAGAGGAGGAUUGUAGGGUUUUUCAAGCUUACUGACGGACUUCUUCACCAAACCACUGUGUGCUGAACCACCCACCACAGCCACGGAGCAUGGUUUGGAUGCUUCUGUAAACCCUUCCGUGAAAAGAGGGGGGAAGUUGGAGUAUUCCUGCUCACCUCCAUCCCCAAGCAGGAGCAUGUCUGCACAUCCCAACCCAUGGACAGUCCUGCUGGCAGAGAGUGUCCUGCGUGUAAUCCUAUGGCAAAGCAAGCCAGUAUGUG
ensembl:lncRNA